CCUACGGGAGACAGCAGUGAGGAAUAUUGGUCAAUGGGCGUAAGCCUGAACCAGCCAAGUCGCGUGAGGGAUGAAGGUUCUAUGGAUCGUAAACCUCUUUUAUAAGGGAAUAAAGUGCGGGACGUGUCCCGUUUUGUAUGUACCUUAUGACUAAGGAUCGGCUAACUCCGUGCCAGCAGCCGCGGUAAUACGGAGGAUCCGAGCGUUAUCCGGAUUUAUUGGGUUUAAAGGGUGCGUAGGCGGCCCUUUAAGUCAGCGGUGAAAGUCUGUGGCUCAACCAUAGAAUUGCCGUUGAAACUGGGAGGCUUGAGUAUGUGUGAGGCAGGCGGAAUGCGUGGUGUAGCGGUGAAAUGCUUAGAUAUCACGCAGAACCCCGAUUGCGAAGGCAGCCUACCAAGCCAUGACUGACGCUGAUGCACGAAAGCGUGGGGAUCAAACAGGAUUAGAUACCCGAGUAGUC
rnacentral:rRNA from 1 species